UGGGGAAUAUUGCACAAUGGGGGAAACCCUGAUGCAGCGACGCAGCGUGCGGGAUGACGGCCUUCGGGUUGUAAACCGCUUUCAGCAGGGGAAGAAGCGCAAGUGACGGUACCUGCAGAAGAAGUACCGGCUAACUACGUGCCAGCAGCCGCGGUAAUACGUAGGGUACGAGCGUUGUCCGGAAUUAUUGGGCGUAAAGAGCUCGUAGGUGGUUGGUCACGUCUGCUGUGGAAACGCAACGCUUAACGUUGCGCGUGCAGUGGGUACGGGCUGACUAGAGUGCAGUAGGGGAGUCUGGAAUUCCGUGGUGUAGCGGUGAAAUGCGCAGAUAUCAGGAGGAACACCGGUGGCGAAGGGCGGGACUCUGGGCUGUAACUGACACUGAGGAGCGAAAGCAUGGGGAGCGAAACAGGAUUAGGAUACCCUGGUAGUCCAUGCCGUAAACGUUGGGCACUAGGUGUGGGGGUCAGUUCCACGUUCUGCCG
rnacentral:rRNA from 1 species